CCUGUUCCAUACCUGAUGGGCUUGCAUUCCAAUGGCCUGGACGACCGUCAAAGCUGGAGCUGCCUCAAGAGGCUAACCUCUGCUUUGUGGACAUUGACAACCACAUCAUCGAGCUGCCAGAGGACUUGCCUCAGUUUCCCAACAAAUUGGAGUUUGUCCAGGAAGUCUCAGAGAUUCUCAUGGCAUUUGGCACUCCCCCUGAAGGGAACCUUCACCGCAGUGAGAGUGCCUCCAAGCUGAAGAGGCUUCGGGCCUCGGAGUUUGUCUCUGAUAAGAGAAACGGGGAUAUUGCGGGCUCCCCUUUGCGUUCCUACGAACUCCUUAAGGAGAGUGAAACUAUUGCACGACUGCAGGCCUUGGUCAAGAGGACGGGGGUGAGCCUGGAAAAGCUGGAAGUGCGUGAUGACCCCAGCAGCAACAAGGAUCUCAAAGUUCAGUGUGAUGAAGAAGAACUCAGGAUUUAAAAGCUAAACAUACAGAUCCGGGAAGUUUUUGCAAAUCAUUUCACUCAGAUGUUUGCAGAUUAUGAGGUGUUUGUCAUUCAGCCCAGCCAGGAUAAGAAAUCCUGGUUUACCAACAGGGAGCAGAUGCAAAAUUUCGAUAAAGCAUCUUUUCUGUCAGAUCAGCCUGAGCCCUAUUUGCCCUUCCCCUCGAGAUUCCUGGAGACCCAGAUGUUUGCAUCUUUCAUUGACAACAAAAUAAUGUGCCAUAAUGGUGAUGAUAAAGACCCUGUGCUCCGGGUGUUUGAUUCCCGAGUAAACAAGAUCAGGUUGUUAAAUGUUCGGACACCUACUCUCCGCACAUCCAUGUAUCAGAAGUGUAGUACAGUGGAUGAAGCAGAGAAAGCAAUUGAGUUAUGUCUGGCAAAAAUUGACCAUACCACAGUUCACCCACAUUUACUUGACAUGAAGAUUGGACAAGGGAAGUAUGAGCCAGGCUUCUUCCCUAAGCUGCAGUCUGAUGUACUUUCCACCGGGUCAGCCAGCAAUAAGUGGACAAAAAGGAAUGCCCCUGCCCAGUGGAGGCGGAAAGAUCGGCAGAAGCAGCACACAGAACACUUGCGUUUAGACAAUGACCAGAGAGAGAAGUACAUCCAGGAAGCCAGGACUAUGGGCAGCACCAUCCGCCAGCCUAAACUGUCAAACCUCUCUCCAUCAGUGAUUGCUCAGACAAAUUGGGAGUUUGUAGAGGGCCUGCUGAAGGAAUGCCGCAACAAGACCAAGAGGAUGCUGGUGGAGAAAAUGGGCCGAGAGGCUGUGGAGCUAGCACAUGGGGAGGUGGGAUGGAAGAGAACACGCUGAUUGCCAGCCUUCGUGACCUCCUAGAAAGGAUCUGGAGUCAUGGGCUACAAGUGCAAUAGGGUAAGUCAGCCUUGUGGUCCCACCUGUUACGUUAUCAGGAAAACCGUCAGAGAAAACUCACAUCAGGAAGCUGCAGUACCUCAGGAAUACUUCCUGAUUCAGAACGGAGGAAGUCUGAUGCCAGCUCAGUCAUGCCUCCCCUGAGGAUCUCCCUGAUUCAGGAUAUGAGGCACAUCCAGAACAUCGGAGAAAUCAAGACUGAUGUGGGAAAGGCCAGAGCAUGGGUGCGACUGUCCAUGGAAAAAAAGUUACUUUCCAGACACCUGAAGCAGCUUCUCUCAGACCAUGAACUCACCAAAAAGCUGCACAAGCGCUGUGCCUUCCCGCGCUGCGAUGAUGAGAAGGAGCAGUUCCUCUAUCACCUCCUCCCUUUCAACGCCGUCGAUUACUUUUGCUUCACCAAUGUCUUCACAACUAUCCUGAUCCCAUACCACAUUCUGAUUGUACCAAGCAAGAAGCUGGGGGGCUCCGUGUUCACUGCCAACCCAUGGAUCUGCAUAUCAGGAGAACUGGGUGAGACACAGACCCUGCAGAUUCCCAGGAACGUGCUGGAGAUGACCUUCGAGUGCCAGAACUUGGGGAAGCUCACUACUGUCCAGAUGGGCCACGAUAACUCUGGGCUGUAUGCCAAAUGGCUGGUGGAGUAUGUGAUGGUCAGGAAUGAGAUCACAGGACACACCUACAAGUUCCCACGUGGCCGGUGGUUGGGGAAGGGCAUGGACGAUGGAAGCCUGGAGCGGAUCCUAGUUGGGGAGCUACUCGCAUCCCAGCCCGAGGCGGAUGAGAGGCCACGCCGGACCCCGCCGCUGCAGCAGUCCCCCCGCGUCAUCCGGAGGCUUGUUACCAUCUCGCCCAUCAACAAGCCCAAGCUGAACACUGGACAGAUCCAGGAAUCCAUCGGGGAGGCAGGGAAUGGCAUCGUGAAGCACUUCCGUGAGCCUGAGGAAGAGCGAGGCAGUCUGACGCUGCUGCUUUGUGGAGAGUGCAGUCUUGUUUCUGCCCUGGAACAGACUUUCCAGCAUGGAUUUAAAUCACCCCGGCUCUUCAAAAAUGUCUUCAUUUGGGAUUUCCUGGAAAAAGCACAAACCUAUUAUGAGACAUUGGAGCAGAAUGAAGUAGUCCCUGAGGAAAACUGGCAUACAAGGGCCCGGAACUUCUGCAGAUUUGUCACUGCAAUCAAUAAUACUCCCCGGAACAUCGGCAAGGACGGCAAGUUUCAGACGCUGGUGUGCUCGGGAGCCAGAGAUCACCUCCUCCACCACUGGAUUGCCCUGCUAGCUGACUGCCCCAUCACUGCACACAUGUAUGAGGAUGUGGCACUGACCAAAGACCACACACUUGUCAAUUCCUUGAUCCGCGUGCUACAGACACUGCAGGAGUUCAACAUCGCGCCGGAGACGUCCCUUGUCAAGGGCAUCGACAUCUGA